AAACUUUACAAUGCGGGAAACCGCGAUAAGGGGACACUGAGUGCCAGCAUAUUAUGUUGGCUGUCCACAUGUAUAAAAAUCAUGUGUUAGCAAGGGCCGGGCAAGACCGGUGCCAGCCGCCGCGGUAACACCGGCGGCCCGAGUGGUGAUCACUUUUAUUGGGUCUAAAGGGUCCGUAGCCGGCCUGAUAAGUCCUUUGGGAAAUCUGGCAGCUUAACUGUCAGGCUUCUAAGGGAUACUGUCAGGCUUGGGACCGGAAGAGGUAAGGGGUACUCCAGGGGUAGGAGUGAAAUCUUGUAAUCCCUGGGGGACCAUCUGUGGCGAAGGCGCCUUACCAGAACGGGUCCGACGGUGAGGGACGAAAGCUAGGGGAGCAAACCGGAUUAGAUACCCGGGUAGUCCUAGCUGUAAACGAUGCUCGCUAGGUGUCAGACACGGUGCGACCGUGUUUGGUGCCGCAGGAAGCCGUUAAGCGAGCCACCUGGGAGUACGUCGCAAGGC
rnacentral:rRNA from 1 species